AGAGUUUGAUCCUGGCUCAGGACGAACGCUGGCGGCGUGCUUAACACAUGCAAGUCGAACGGUGAAGGGACCAGCUUGCUGGUUCUGGAUGAGUGGCGAACGGGUGAGUAACACGUGAGUAACCUGCCCCCUUCUUCUGGAUAACCGCAUGAAAGUGUGGCUAAUACGGGAUAUUCUGGGUCUGUCGCAUGACGGGCCCGGGAAAGAUAUUGCUUCGGUGGGGGAUGGGCUCGCGGCCUAUCAGCUUGUUGGUGGGGUGAUGGCCUACCAAGGCGGUGACGGGUAGCCGGCCUGAGAGGGUGGACGGUCACACUGGGACUGASACACGGCCCARACUCCUACGGGAGGCAGCAGUGGGGAAUAUUGCACAAUGGGCGCAAGCCUGAUGCAGCGACGCCSCGUGAGGGAUGGAGGCCUUCGGGUUGUAAACCUCUUUCRMCAGUGAAGCAGGCCUGCUCCUUGUGGGUGGGUUGACGGUAGCUGGAUAAGAAGCGCCGGCUAACUACGUGCCA
rnacentral:rRNA from 1 species